CUCCGAGUGGGGAGAGGUCAGGUGGCCAGUCCAGGUUGGGGCAGCCCUUCCAGCUCCUGGUUCUGCUUCAGUUCCCUCAUCCUGCAGAGAAACAGGAAGGAGUCAGGUUCCCACCACACAGACCUCUGACGGCCUGUCAGUUCUCCCAGUUCAAGUUCCUGGAUGUCCCCUCCUCCCACAGCCAACUUCCUGCAGACCCUCUGGCCGCCAGAUCUCACACACCCUGGCCCGUGUUGUGCCUUCACGUCAGCUCAGGCUCCCUCAUGGAAGUACCUGCAUUGGAGGCCCGUCAGGACCCUGGCAAGGUGCCUGCCCAGCUGCUGCGAUCUCUGCCAUCCGCUUCUCCAUCUGCUCCAGCCGCUCCAGUAUGGACAUCCGGAACUGG